rnacentral:rRNA from 1 species
AGAGUUUGAUCCUGGCUCAGAUUGAACGCUGGCGGCAUGCCUUACACAUGCAAGUCGAGCGGCAGCGCGGGGGCAACCCUGGCGGCGAGCGGCGAACGGGUGAGUAAUGCAUCGGAACGUGUCCUCUUGUGGGGGAUAACCAGUCGAAAGACUGGCUAAUACCGCAUGAGAUCGAGAGAUGAAAGCAGGGGACCGCAAGGCCUUGCGCGAGAGGAGCGGCCGAUGCCGGAUUAGCUAGUUGGUGGGGUAAAAGCCUACCAAGGCGACGAUCCGUAGCUGGUCUGAGAGGACGACCAGCCACACUGGGACUGAGACACGGCCCAGACUCCUACGGGAGGCAGCAGUGGGGAAUUUUGGACAAUGGGGGCAACCCUGAUCCAGCCAUGCCGCGUGUGUGAAGAAGGCCUUCGGGUUGUAAAGCACUUUCGGCCGGAACGAAAUCGCGCGAUCUAAUAAGUCGCGUGGAUGACGGUACCGAAGAAGAG